GGCUCCUCCAGGACCUGAAAUAUCGCAGCCCCAAUGGAGAGGUAGAAGAUGAUGACAGAAGUCAGCAAGGGGCCUUUAUCUACCAUACUUCUGUGCAGAAGAGCGGGGCAAACACUAAAGGAGGAGGGGUAGAUAACAAAGCUGGGAGACGACAAAGGAGCGCGCGGCAGCUGACAGCUUCGGGCUCGAGACAGACAAGAUAGCGGUGGAGAAAAAGUUUAAAAAGCCGGACCGAGCGCGCGUGCCAACUCAUCCACUUGUUGCAGUAUGCUCCCACGUGCGCAUCCGGCGGCCAACUGUGACCAUAAAGUAGAGAGCCGCGGAGAGUGAAGUGGUGGAGACCCGCCCAGCGCCGAGGGAGGGCAAACACCCCUGCUGCUACUUCUGCUGAGAAGUUUGGCCACAGGUGCACAAGUCCCAGAGACAACAAAAACACAUUUCAGACACACGUCACUCCUCUGCGCUGCAUCAUAAUCAAGUAUAAUAUCACUACAUCUGAUUUAAAUACAUUUAGGAUAAACAGAAGUGAGUGAAUUUAUAAAAAUUAUAAUCUGAACGUUACUGUAGGAUGCAAUUCUGUAUCUUAUUGCCUUAAUAAAACAAUACAUAGCAACAAGAAAAAAAUAAAUAUGUAUAUCAAUAAUCAGGACUAAUAAAGUAUCUAUUUGCACCAUCAGAAAUUAGUUAAUAGAAUGGUCGGAUCUAUGGGAGGAGCUGGAAGGGCACUGGCCCCUCCUUUCAUGGUCCUUCUAACUAAAUCCCCUUAAAAAAAAAAAAAAAAAAAAACAUAACCUAAACAUUUUUCUUAGAAAACAUAACAUAA